rnacentral:lncRNA from 1 species
AGUUUUUGGGAGAGAAGAUCAGAGCUCCUUCAGAGUGAAUGGAACUCUUGUAUUUCUUACCCUCAAUCUUUUACAUUUUAUUCAGUUUAAGAUUAUAUUUUCUCUGAUCAUAUUUGUGUAAUUCACUUGUUAGAUUUAGGGAUUCUAAGGUUUUGAUGUACUUUUGAUUUAUAGAUCUGCUAGGGUAGUAUUGUUUCCUUCACCAUCAUUAAUCUUACUGCAUGUUCUUAAGUAAUUAACUAGGAACUUAAUCUUAGGAUAAUUGAAAUAAAACGAGUGUGUGACCGAUAUUCUUAUAUAUAUCCUGUUGAACUAGGUUGUUAGACAUAACAAACAACAAGAGUUGGCCUAAAGAACUUAGUGAAUAUAUCGAUUUGGAUCAUUAAUGCUUGUUUAG